rnacentral:rRNA from 1 species
AUGGUCAUAAUGGAAGAGGUCCAAACUCUAGUUUUGAUAAGAGGAAAUUUAGAUGUCAUGGUUGUGGAGAGUAUGGGCAUUUUAGAACUGAGUGCAAGAAUAAGAAGCCUUAUAAACAAGAUGACAAGUCUAAGAAGCAGCAUCAGGACAAGCAUCAGGGCAACAAGAAGGAUAAUUCUUCUCCUGAUGCUGCAGGGCUAUACUGAUGCUGAUUGGCAGGGUGAUCUGGACAACCGGAAGUCUACGUCUGGGUAUCUAUUUACAUUAGCUGGUGGCGCUAUAUCUUGGAGUAGUAAGAAGCAAGAUUCAGUGGCAUUAUCUUCCAUGGAGGCGGAGUAUAUUGCUGCGUCAGAAGCUGUGAAGGAGGCGGUGUGGCUGAAGGAAUUUCUUUCGACUUUGAAGAUUGUUGAAAGUGCUAGCAAACCAGUGGUGGUGUAUUGUGAUAAUCAGCCUGCAAUAAAGGUUUCCAGAUAUCCCAAAUUCCACAGCAAGAUCAAACAUAUUGAGGGAAGGUAUCACUAUAUACGUGAUGCAAUUAAUAGACUUAAGUCAGUUUGUUUAGAGUUUCUACCUAGUACUGAUAUGGUUGUUGAUCCUUUGACUAAGUCACUUAGUCAGGUGGUAUUUGGUAAGCAUGUUCAGGCUAUGGGUUUACGAAUUUUUGAAUGA